UACGUAGGGGCCUAGCGUUGUCCGGAUUUAUUGGGCGUAAAGAGCUCGUAGGCGGUUCGGCAAGUCGGAUGUGAAAUCUCCACGCUUAACGUGGAGGGGCCAUUCGAAACUGCCGUGACUCGAGUCCGGUAGGGGAGUGUGGAAUUCCCGGUGUAGCGGUGAAAUGCGCAGAUAUCAGGAGGAACACCGGUGGCGAAGGCGGAUCUCUGGGCCUUACCUGACGCUCAUGCACGAAAGCGUGGGGAGCAAACAGG
rnacentral:rRNA from 1 species